rnacentral:rRNA from 1 species
CAGCGCCACGAGUGGCAACCACGUUUAUUGGGCUUAAAGCGUCCGUAGCCGGUCAGGUAAAUCUUUUGUGAAAUCAUGGGGCUUAACUCCAUGGCGUGCAGAAGACACUAUCUGACUUGGAACCGGGAGGAGUCAGAGGAAUUCCAGGGGGAGCGGUAAAAUGUUAUAAUCCCUGGAGGACCACCUGUGGCGAAGGCGUCUGACUAGAACGGAUUCGACGGUGAGGGACGAAGGCCAGGGGAGCGAACCGGAUUAGAUACCCGAGUAGUC